AAUGCCUACGGAGCCUGAGCAUGUAUGCUGCAGGGAGAUACCACAGACGUUACAGGUAUUUGGCGUACAGAAGCUUUGUUGGCUGGUGUUGGGGCUAUCUGGGCCGGAGAAUCAGGGUCGUCCUGCCAUCCUGAGUUGUGCUCCAGAUACGAAGAGUGUUCCCUGAUGCUCAAGGAAGGUAUACGGGGUUCAGACCUGCCCUCGAUUGAACCUUGACACAUAGCUGGCUACAACUUCCCGCUUGUCAGGUUUCUCAAACUGGGCAGAGAGAUCCGCGGGUAUUGGGAUCUUCAGCACCUCAUUCACAUAUGGGGCCGGGUCCUGAAAAACCUUGUGAAAGAUGAGGUCCAACAGGUUAUCCACGUACUCUGUAAUACAAAAAAAAAAAUCCAAAACUUUUACAUUGUUUUUAUUUAUUGUUUAUAUUGUAUUUAUUAUUUUAUUUUUAUAAUUAUUUUGCAAUUAUAUUAUUCUAUUUAUUAUGAAGACCAUUUAAAGACAGCAGUUAAUGUAUAUGUUAUUUAAGUUUCACAUACUGUUUGUACAUUGUUUGACUUGGUGGAAUUUCAAAUAAAGCCUGUGACUCACGGAA